rnacentral:lncRNA from 1 species
UUAAAUCCUAAUCACACUAAUCUAAUUUUUUAAAUCUAAUAAACCUAAUUAAGUAAUCAAGACUUAAAACGUAAUUACUAAUUAAGUCCCAAACUCGCGGUCACAUGAGGAUCCAAGCCCCAAACCCGCUGUCACAUGAGGAUCCGAGUUUCCUCCAUACAAGACCGAUACAUAGUUGAAGCGGUCAUGAACGAAGUCAGAGAGAGCAUUUGCAUUACGCUGCUCUCUAUUUCAGCGUCUCCAUCAUCAUCAACGAUAUCACGUCCUACUUCCAAUCGAACAAGAGGAGCAUCGAUCUCAUCGACGGCGCAUUCAUUCUUACAGCUUCAUGUUUGAAGGUAUGAGGUUACAGAGAUGUGAAAACUAGAAGUGUUCCAUGAGGCUCAAAAGCUUCGACGACGCCGUUUGCUUCGGUGUCAGUCGUACACAAACAAAGUAAGAAGAAAAACGUGAAAGAGGAGUCGAAAACUCACCAGGUAUUGUUCUGCAUCUCUUCUUUCCCUCUGAACCUCGAACCUCCUUCUUCUUUGUUAUGGAUGGAAGUUGCAGAAACUGAUUGUUGCAAAAGAUUGCAGAAGACGAUUGUUAUAGAAGAUUGCAAAGGAUGCUUGCAGAAUAAUUGCAGAAGAUCGCAGAAGAUUGUAGAAGCUCCUUAUUGCAGAAGAUGAUUGCAGAAGCUUGUAGAAGAUGAUUGCAUAAGCUGAUUGCAGAAGAAUCUUGCAGAAGAUUGCAGAAGCUCCUUGUUGCAGAAGAUGAUUGCAGAAGAAUCUUGCAGAAGAUUGCAGAAGCUCCUUGUUGCAGAAGAUGAUUGCAGAAGGUUGCAGAAGAUGAUUUCAGAAGAUCCUUGUAGAAGAUGAUUGCAGAAUGAUUGCAGAAGCUUACAGAAGAUCCUUGCAGAAGAUGAUUGCGGAAUGAUUGCAGAAGAAUGCUUGCGAAAUGGGGCUACAACUGGUUAUAUAGAGGAUCAAUCCAACUGACUUGGGCAAGCUCUUGGGCAACCAGGUCAGUUAUUUUGUUGAAAACUAAUGGGCAAAGGAAAAAUCUGUUAGAGAAUAUGUUGUCACUUAGUUAGUUACCAAAGUUAGUUAAUAGUUUUUAUUAUUUUUUUGAUUGGCUGUUAAACUAUGAGUGAAGUUAGGAAAAAGUUGUUAAAAUGCAGUUAGUUGUAACUUCUGUUAGAUGACUGUUGGAUUGUUAAUUCGGUUAUAUGCUUGGACAAUUUAAAUUCUAGGGAAUUGAUUCAAUUGAAAAUAAAGUUUUGUCAUAUACAUUACUUGCUAGAUGCAUGAGUCUACUAAGUUGAUUUUAUUCAAAUGGAAACUAGCUUAAUUUGGUCCAGUCGAAUGAAAAUGCUAGCAAUCUUGUGAUGCAAAUUGGUUUGAGUCAUGCCUUAUGAGAACCUACUGUUAACUGGUUAUGCAUUGCUGCCAAACUAAUUUGAAUGUUAAAUAGGAUGGUUAGGAUUAGCUAUCAUGCUUAAAUGGAAAUGAGGUUAAAAUGAGUUUGGAUGAGUGUGAACUUAAACUGUUGGCAUUUUAUUGUAUUGAAUUAUGAAGUUAUUGAAUCAGUUAGGAAAUGAAUGUGAUUGAAUAAAUUUGGUUAAGUUGUUGCUGAUUCAGUUUAUGAAGUUUUUUAUGAAAUUGAAAUGCAGGUUGAAAAAUUAUGUUGUUUCUUGAACUGAGUUGCUCAUUUGGUUGUUGUAAUGCAGGGCUGUUUAAACGAGCUUGAAUUUACUGCAGGGUUUUUGAUACCAAGGUCAUAUUCAUGGACUUAAGACUUUGUUGUUGAAUGGAUAGUGGAUGAAAAAGUUAGGGAUGAGUCAACUACUGCAAUGCAUAAUGAGAUGCGAGUGAAGCAGGUUGCCAAAGAACAUAUUUGGUUGCUUGUUAUGUUCAUGAUCUGACCUGCAGGAUGAUUGAAGUUGAGGCAAGGUGAAUGCUUGGCUUGGUGUAAUGGUUGCUACCAACUUCAUGUGGUCUGCAGAAUGACUCCAAUAGAGAUGGCAAAUGGAUGGUGGACCUUGAAGAUGGAAAUUGAUACUUGUAAUCAAAUUAGAUCUUGUGUAUUUAGAACUUGUACAAGUUUUUUUUAUUGAAGUGUAAUAGCUAUUAACAACUAUGUAUACAACAUGAUCUUUGAUAACAUUUCACUUGUUUUCUAUCAACUCUCCAUAUUCAUUCCAUGUUAUCUAUGUAUAUGUCUAUGUAGGACUUCAUGUAUGAUAAAU